rnacentral:lncRNA from 10 species
CAGGAGCCCAGCUGGCUUCACCCAGUGGAUCCCCCACAGGGCUGCAGGUGGAGCUGCCUGCCAGUUCCCGGCCGUGUGCCCGCACUCCUCAGCGCUUGGGUGUCGAUGGGACUGGGCCCAUGGAGUAGGGGGCGGCGCUCGUCUGGGAGGCUCGGGCCACACAGGAGCCCACGGAGGUUGGGGGAGGCUCAGGCAUGGCGGGCUGCAGGUCCCGAGCCCUGCCGUGCAGGAAGGCAGUUAAGGCCCCGCGAGAAAUUGAGCACAGCAGCUGCUGGCUGAGGUGCUAAGCCCCUCACUGCCUGAGGCCAGUGGGGCCGGCCAGCUGCUCCGAGUGCGGGGUCCGCCGAGCCCACGCCCAUCCGGAACUCGCGCUGGCCUGCAAGCACCGCGCGCAGCCCUGGUUCCCGCCCGCGCCUCUCCCUCCACACCUCCCUGUAAGCUGAAGGAGCCCGCUCCGGCCUUGGCCAGCACAGAAAGGGGCUCCCACAGUGCAGCCUCGAGCUGAAGGGCUCAUCAAGUGCCGCCAAAGUGGGAGCCCAGGCAGGGGAGGCGCCGAGAGCCAGUGAGGACUGCCAGCACCGCUGUCACCUCUCAGAAAUGCUGGGAAGAAUAUGAGAGAUCCGGAAGGGAACAGAAGACAAGGAAUGUGGGCACCCUCUAGAAGUUGCAGAAGCCAGAGAAACAGACUCUCCCCUGGAAUGUUCAGAAAGUGUACAAUCCUGCCAAGACCUCGGUCAUAGCUCAGUGAAACCCAUUUUGAAAUUCGGACCACCAGAACUCAAGACCAACACUCUUCCUCCUCCUCUGCCUACUCAAUGUGAAGACAAUGAGGAUGAACACCUUUAUGAUGCUCCACUUCCACUUAUUGAAUACAAUUUGACGUACGACAUUCUAAUCCCUUCUGGACUGCAAGGUUUCUGCAGAAAAAUUUCAUGAUGGUAUUAUCAAGGUUCCCUUAUACAUCACAAGUCACUUUUCUCAUGCUGCUUUAAAAAUUCUCUCUUUGUUUUUCACAAUUUGAUUACAAUGUGUCUUGGUGUGUGAACCUAAGGUGUAAAUUUCCUUGGGUUUAUUUUACUUGGAAUCCUUUAGGAUUCUUAAGGCUGAAUGUCCAUCUCCUACACAGAUUUACAAAGUUUUCAGCUGUUAUUUCUUUUAGUAAGCUUUCUGGUGCUUAUCUCUCUUCUCCUGCUGGUAUUUCCAUAUGCAUAUAUUGGUCUGCUUGAGAGUGUCCCAUAACUCUUUUAAGCUAUUUUUAUUCUUUUUCAUUCUUCUCUGUUUUUGCUCUUCUGUCUGUACAAUAUCAUAUGACCUAUCUUUAAGUUCACUUAGUCUUUUAUUUCUGCUUGCUGUAGUUUGCUGUUAAAUCCUCUAUUGAAUUUUUUUAGUUGAGUAUUGUAUUCUUUAGCUCUAAGAUUUCUGUUGGUUUCUUUUUACAUUUGGUUUCUUUUUACAUUUUCUAUUUCUUUGAAAGAAUUCUUACUUUAUUUGUGCAUUAUUUUCCUGAGCUGGU